ensembl:Mt_tRNA tRNA-Gly
ACCUUUCUAGUACAAAAGACAGUACAGGUGGCUUCCAACCAUCUAAUCUUGGUUAAAGUCCAAGGAAAGGUA